UUGGUUUGACGUUGAAACUUCAGAAUCAUCUUGUAACGUAGAUUCAAAAAUUCUAACAAGACUCGAGCUAUUAUCUGCAGGACGGUCAUUUAUCCUUUUUCGAAGAUUGGUGUACUCAAUUCGAGAUCUAUUAUACUGAUCCCUUUGUCUUUGAUUAUGUUGUCGACGAAUAAAAGCUUGAUAUGACUUGUUGCUAGUCAGAGAUGUAGGUUGAAGGUUAACUAAAUCAUAAUCUCUAUCAUCAGAUGGUUUGAAAAUAUCCAUUACAACACAAAUAAAUUUAGAGGAAUAGCUGGACCCCAACUUUAAUGGUAGAAACUAAAAAUACUGGAAAAAAAUAAUACAAUAUAUAGUAAAGCAUACAUACAGUAGAACUAAAGUUUAGAACAUAAGUUGUGUGAACAAUAGUUGAAGAUAUACUUUAGAAGGAAGGAAAAAGGUGUCUUCUAGAACGCACAAAAGAAGCUCAAGAACUAACAACCUAUUACAAAAUUUAUAAGUUACUAUAGAUAAAUAACCAAAAUAAAUUUACAACAUAAACCCUUGAACAAAAACCUAUAAAUAGGUUAAUCAAGAGAACUUACCUAAGAGAGAGUACACUGUUGUAAUCAACAAUUACAAUGAUUAAGAAAUACAGUUGAAUACUAUGUGACAUAAUUGUUGACCCAAAAAAAUGUUGCCAACAGAUGCCAGACCCACCUGCGCACACGUGAGCAAAAGUCCAACACACUAAGA
rnacentral:lncRNA from 1 species